GGCUCGUUGGUCUAGUGGUAUGAUUCCUGCUUCGGGUGCAGGAUGUCCCGGGUUCAUAUCCCGGACGAGCCC